rnacentral:rRNA from 2 species
GCAGCAGGCGCGCAAAUUACCCACUCCCGGCACGGGGAGGUAGUGACGAAAAAUAACGAUACGGGACUCAUCCGAGGCCCCGUAAUCGGAAUGAGAACAUUCUAAACCCUUUAACGAGAAUCAAUUGGAGGGCAAGUCUGGUGCCAGCAGCCGCGGUAAUUCCAGCUCCAAUAGCGUAUAUUAAAGUUGUUGCGGUUAAAAAGCUCGUAGUCGAAAUUGUGUCUCGCGCCGCCGGUUCAUCGUUCGCGGUGCUAACUGGCGUGUCGCGAGACGUCCUGCCGGCGGGCUUAGCUCGCAAGAGCGGUCCAACUUAAUCCCGCCGCGGUGCUCUUUACUGAGUGUCGAGGUGGGCCGGCACGUUUACUUUGAACAAAUUAGAGUGCUUAAAGCAGGCUCAAACUUCGCUUGAAUAUUGCGUGCAUGGAAUAAUGAAAGAGGACCUCGGUUCUAUUUUGUUGGUUUUCAGAACCACGAGGUAAUGAUUAACAGGAACGGAUGGGGGCAUUCGUAUUGCGACGUUAGAGGUGAAAUUCUUGGAUCGUCGCAAGACGGACAGAAGCGAAAGCAUUUGCCAAAAACGUUUUCAUUGAUCAAGAACGAAAGUUAGAGGUUCGAAGGCGAUCAGAUACCGCCCUAGUUCUAACCAUAAACGAUGCCAGCUAGCGAUCCGCCGACGUUCCUCCGAUGACUCGGCGGGCAGCUUCCGGGAAACCAAAGCUUUUGGGUUCCGGGGGAAGUAUGGUUGCAAAGCUGAAACUUAAAGGAAUUGACGGAAGGGCACCACCAGGAGUGGAGCCUGCGGCUUAAUUUGACUCAACACGGGAAACCUCAUCAGGCCCGGACACCGGAAGGAUUGACAGAUUGAGAGCUCUUUCUUGAUUCGGUGGGUGGUGGUGCAUGGCCGU